AUAUGUAUUUGCACUACAACACGAACCCAUGUUUAGCGACAGAUGUUUUGCAGUGGAAAUAAGAUGUGUUGCCGUCCGUCCCUCCUUUCAACCUCCUAGACCAAAAUAAAAACUACCCCCAAGCCAUCCCUAAUCUACGAGACUAAUUCCUUCUCUUGCGCAUAGGGUUCCAGCACCCCUCCCACAAUUCUCCUCCAUGUCAUUUCGGUGGCGGUGGAUUGUUCGAUUCCUCAUCAGCCCUCCACAACACCUGCUGUAGGGAGACUACCUUGAGGCCCGCAGAUCAUGGACUCGCCGCCGGAGUCUCCAUCGAGUCUGCGCUGCUGCCUUCCUCCAUGGGGGGUAGGUUCCAUAGAGAGCACAACGAUCUGCUCCCCUCAGCCAAUUCUGUCAGAUCCCGUGGCGAUGAGAAGAAGGGAGAUCGCUGCCGGAUGACCGGAUCUGAAGGAGGGAUAUCGCCUUCUCAUCCUAUCUGCACCGUCAUUCCCUUCCAAACGGCGCCCUCUCUCCUGCCCCAGGGUGCAGGUUCAACACUUCUGUCAUAUCUGAAUUGAUUUGAUUACCCAUCUGAAAGUGAGAUGUAACAGGAUUCUUAACAUGUGGGAGUUAAAGCCUGAACGAUUCCGCUGUAGAAAAUCUGACUUGAAGAGUUUCUGAGUACUCAGGUGUGAAAGUUCUGUUUAGUUUAAGUUUUUAUCAGAGUACACAUAUAUUCUUAUGCACUUGUCAUGUGAAUAAUAUGCAAAAGCUGGCUGUCCAUAGAGAACUUGAGCAGCCUGGAGAACAGAGCAAUUUCUGGCCUGUUCUGUCGUUUUGGUCUCAUUCUUUCUAUCCAUGAUUCAAUUAUAAGUUUUCUCUUGGCUAUACUGCCGUGCCAGUAAGAAAACCUUUUCUCUUUCAUUUUCCUGAAUAUUUCUAUCUGUAAGCAGUAACCACCGCAACAAAGCAAAAUGAUUGCUUCUUGUUUUUUUCCCUCUUUUCUGUACAGUGAUGAUGAUAUCCUUUGUAGGUAUUUUUGAAGCAACCUCUUUGGAGCGCUCAAAGAAAAGCCCUUUUUAGAGACCCAUAUACUGUGAAAAUGAGGUGCUCCACAAUCAGAUGCCAAUUUCAGCACUUCUAAGCUGAAGAAUGUAAUACCUGGGUUCAUAAAAGUUCUGAAAGAGCUGGAACACAGGAAUUUCAGUCCUGCUUCCGAGAUGAAAAGACUGCAAGACACAUCAUGCAUAUGUUUUGUUGUACAAUUGAGGAUGUGGAGCACGAAGGAUCAUUUGAGUGGAUGCAUUUCGUGAUAAAUUAGUCAUAUGUUCAAUUUCAGUGUUUUAUAUCCCUGUAUGCUAUCAACAACCAUGUAAAGAUAAUCCUUGUAACUGAAAUUAUUUUUCUAAUAAGAUCAUUUUUUUAUUUUUUAUCA